rnacentral:lncRNA from 1 species
UCCGAAUCUUUUAUAGCCACAAUAAAAUCACACAAUCUUUUAUAGCCACAAUAAAAUCACCUAUUUUUUUAUUAGCCAAAGUUUUAGUCUCUUUUUUUAUUAGCUAAGGUUUUACUAUCCAAUGUCAAAUCUUUUAUAGCGAUAACAAAAUCACCCAUUUGGGUAAGGUUUUACUAUACAAUGUUUUACUAUCCUAAAGGGUUUUACUGCCCAUAGUAAAGUGUCUGGACAAGGUUUUACUCGUCAUACCAACUCAAGUAUUAUAACAAGAGACUCUCUCUCAAAACAAAACUGAUUCUCUAUCUUUGUUUAUGUUGUGUGAUAUGUUGGAAUUCAAUAUCUUAUUAACUUCUAAUCUCAUCAUUUUCUCAAAUCCUUUGGCUAAAUGAAGGUUUCCAAAUAUAACCAACUGUAGAUAUUUGAAUGACACUGUUGGAAAAAUUAAUUUGUAACCUCGACGUUUUCUCAAUUAAUUUUAAGAUUGGC